UGCCCGUGGAGAUUCACCCGACUCCGCCAUGGCUCUCCCUCUCGUCUCAACACAAGGACGCAGCGUUGGUUCCAAUUAGCGGCUGAUCGUGUGCCUGGAUUUUAGGCCUCGACGCAAAACUGUUUUAGUCUACGUUCCUGCCAUAUGUUGUGCGACCCGUUAAGAUUGGAGAAUCGGACGCACGUUAAGAUUGGCUCACGGGAGAGGGCGUGCGGCCCGUUCCCAGAAUUUUUUUCGCCGAAGCAGAGAAAGGCGAGCUCAGAUCGGAGAAGAUAAGAGCACCAAGCCUGCAUCGCCGGCCGGCGGGCCGCUGGAGUCGGCGCUCCUCCACAUCAUGCAGCAACACCAACGCCUCCGCAGAGAGGGCGAAGUAGAGCGCCCUGAGCAGCGCGGCGCGGGUGGACGGCGGCGUGCAGGAGCUGUUCGUGAACGAGAAGCGCGUGGAGGCGGAGUCCCUCGGCCUGCUCGCCGCCGUCGCAGCGCUACCGGAAGCAGACCGACCACUGGCUAGCCGCCACCAACGACAUCAACUCCGUCCUCAAGGAAAUUGGGGAUUUUGAGAACUGGAUGAAGGUCAUGGUGUUUGACUGUGAAAGUAUCAAUGCUGCAGUCCGGAACAUUCAUCAGUGAUUCUGCUUGGCUCCUGCAACUCUGACGUUACCAAGUGUUCUCAUUCGUCUCUGCUCAGAUUGAUCGAUAUUUCAGUCCAGGUACAGGAGUCCAUGGCUGAAUCCCAAGAGAUCAUCGCCAAGCAAUCCAAGGUGCAAGGAUAUUUACAUUGACUAGCUAAAUUAAUGCACCUGAGUGGCUACGGAUUUCUUGGGUUUUUUUAAAUAGUUUUUUUAUAAUUUCUUUCAAGUAAGUAUUCUCUUAAAUUGUUUAUUAUUGGAGAAAACAGCUACAGUAUAUAUCUGUUUCUUCCUUUCUUUGUUGAAGAACAUCCAGAGAACUUACAUAUAUACUAUUUGUUCAAGCUCCUAAUUAAUGUUGAUCCGGUACAGUCAGGCAACGGCCUUCAUGCACUCAUUUACUUCGGACUCCAGUAUCUUGCAGAUGAUUAACCCCAACAAGCAAGGUCUGGAACCGAGAAGAAGGCAAGCAAUUAACCUGGGCAUCAACAGAAAUGAAAGGCUUUGAGAUUAUUAGAGCAGUUGUUCUGGAGCCGGUGCCGUUGGACUCGGAGCGCGACCUACAAGAGAAGAGAAAGGGCCAAGAAUUGAAGCCGUUUCCGUGCGUUUAGGCAAGUUCCAGCCCAAGCGCAAGCCCCUUUCCUAGGGAUAUCCAUCGCUCCGCCAUGCCGACCGCUCGAGAUUCGUGCAAGAACAAGAGGGAUAGGCAGAAUCUGAGAUUCCACUAGGAAAAGUGGAGCUUGAGGAUUGUCUACAGAAUAAAAUGUUUAGGGGCAAGAUUCUUUUGGAUGCUCGUGUUGAGAAUCAGAGAGCGAUGGUGGUUCCUGUCGUCUGGACGUCCAAAGCUGUUGAAGAUUGUGAUGCCUACAAAUGCACAGACGGCUAUACUAAUAGGACUGCUACGCCAAGAUACAAACUGGUUAUCAUGGCGGCUGAUGAGGGUUCAGCUGUGGAGAUGGUGUUUUAGUGGCAGAUUCUUACAGCCUAGGAUUCUACCCCUCGUGAAAUUUAGCGUUGAUUGGGAGGAAAUAUGUUGUUGAUGUGGCCGUUCCGUAUUCAUUUCACAGGGCCCGUAUCCCUCGUGAAAUUUAGCGUUGAUUGGGACGUCCCGAAGGUGGUGCAAUUUUUUCUCACUUUAUGUUGCUUGGUGUGCCAGCUGAUGUGUUACCUGAACCUCUACCUCCUUCAUUAGGUAAUAGUGCUCAUCACCUGAUUAUGCCUGUCCGUACUGAAAUCAAAGAUUGAUGGUCUUUCUA